rnacentral:rRNA from 1 species
UACGUAGGGGGGCAAGCGUUGUCCGGAAUCAUUGGGCGUAAAGAGCGUGUAGGCGGCCAGAAAAGUCCGCUGUGAAAACUCGAGGCUCAACCUUGGGCUUGCAGUGGGUACGGGGCAGACUAGAGUGCGGUAGGGGUGACUGGAAUUCCUGGUGUAGCGGUGGAAUGCGCAGAUAUCAGGAGGAACACCGAUGGCGAAGGCAGGUCACUGGGCCGCAACUGACGCUGAGGAGCGAAAGCAUGGGGAGCGAACAGG